GUUUCUAGGAAGGAGCUGUCCAGCAAGGGACUGACUAUCCCAGGAGCCUUGCAUCUAGGGACAUGCCAGAGAUGAUGAUGCUCCACAGCACCAGAGUUCAAGCAAAACAGAAUGGUUGAUAUUUUUAUGUCACAUUCCUGAAGUGAGAAACUGAUUGGUCCAGUUGGUCUAUGGUAAAACACAGUAUCAUGAACAUGGACAUAGAGUCUGUCACCCUGCCCACUGUGGCUUCAGGAGUAAGAGAAAGAGCGUGAGUGGUGGAUUACAAAUAUACUUGAAAGGCCAUCUAUUGCAGGGAUUUCUUGCAAUAGUUGUACAUAAUAUUGACUCAUCACCUAGAAUUGUUCUGCCUCUUAUAUAUAUUUUUUAAUUUUUUAAAUUAUUUAAAUUUUUUGUGGGUACAUAGUAAGUGUAUGUAUUUAUGGGGUAUAUGAGAUGUUUUGAUACAGGCAUGCAAUGUGAAAUAAGCACAUCAUGAAGAAUGGGGUAUCUAUUCCCUCAAGCAUUUAUCCUUUGAGUUAUAAACAAUCCAAUUACAUUCUUUAGAUUAUUUUAAAAUAUGUAAUUACAUUAUUAUUUACUAUGAUCACUCUAUUGUGCUAUCAAAUAGUCUUAUUCAAUAUUUCUAUUUUUGUGCCCAUUAACCAUCCCCACCUUCCGCCAACCCCUCACUGGCGCUUAUAUGGUAAUCUUCAGUAUUUCAUCCUAUCACAGCCCGUCUCCCUAGCUUUUUUCACUUCCUAACUAACUACCACUACAAAUAUGCUCUUCAAAUGUAAUAUAUGCUCUUCAUAUAUUAUUUGACACUUCUCCUUCCUCCUUCUUCAUUAUUUUCUUCUACCACACUUCUUGUUCAAACCUACAAAUUGUCACUUCCAUGGUCUAAAAAUUAUACAUGACAACAGCGAGUGGAUUCAAUCAUCAUCUUUCUUUGCUAUACAACAGACUCUGAGCACUACCAGAAAAUGUUCUUAAAGCAAAUGGAUUGUUCAGAGGAUGAAGGUUUUAAAACUUUUAUAUUUUAUGUUCGACAAGAUGACGCUGUGCCUUACCCUUAUUCAUGAUCUUUUCUCAAGCCAAAAACUUUUAGCCUCUUCUUGAAUCUCUGACUCUAGGAAACCACCACUUUGUUACAGGGUGAUCUCUCUUAAACAUAAACCCACUCGUAUCCUUUCUUCGGCUUAAAAUAACUAAGAACUCAUUUCUACACUAAUUCACCAAGUCAAAAGUCCUCAGCAUUUUGUACAAGGCCCUUCAUGGAGUGUCUCCUACUUACCUCCUGACAUGAUACAUCUCCAUAUGCACCUCCUAUUUCAGCCAAACAAGUCACUGAGAGAUCUCAGGAAGCACUAGUCUCUCUCACCGUACUCUGUCUUUGCACUUCACAUUUCAUCGUUUUUGAAUGUCAUCUCUUCCAUCCUGUGUGUGAUGGGCUCCUCCUCACCCCCUCUAUACGGUCCACGUGUAACCUACUCCGAGAAGCCUUGCUGCCUCCCUUCCACUCCCAGACCACACUUACCCUAUUAGAGUUAAGUUAUUUCUCUUUUCUUCCACCUAGAGCUUCCUUUAUUUAUUUCUCUACUCCCUCUCUAGUCCCCAUCCUACAACUAUGCACCCUAGAGUGGAGAAUUUACAUCUCAAAACCUGAAAAAUAACAAUUAUCCCAAUAAUACUCAGCAAAUGUUUAUAGAAUGAAUGGACAGAUGGGCUUAUAAUAUGAAGAACAGGACAUUCAGUUUAGUUAAUUGGGGGCGUUGGAGACAAGUCGGGGUGCCUAUUACUCAGUAUGUAAUAUUCUGCUCUCUGGUUUGGUAAUUUCACUAAAAUCAAUAACCUAAACUCAACAACAAAAAGUCGUAGCCUGCUUCAAAGAGAGGAACAACCUUUCCUCAAGUUUGCUAUUUCAACAAUAAUUUAAGAAAAUCAUCUUUUUACUACCUGUAGGUGUCACAUGGGACUAACAUUGUGGUCUGUACCUUUUGCCUUCCUUCAUUCCCAGUAAGGAAAUAAAGGAGAUAUGCUGACAUUUUGAUAGAGUGGAAAUCAAUACCUAUAUUUCCAGCAUUACCUACGGAGACAGAGAGUUUUCCAGGCUGGCAGGCUUUACUGCAACCUCUGAAGGUGUUAACAUGUUAAGAGAAAGACUAUGUGGACCAGAGGAAGCAGAACCUUACAGAAGCAAAGGGAAAAAGGCAGAUACAAAGGAGAUCGCAGGUCUGUGUUUCACAAGCACCUGGGAUGUUUGUUUGAAAUGUUGAUGACUGGCCCCACCUCCAUCCUAGUAAAUCAGAAUCUCUGGGAAUAGAGUCCACAAAUUUGAAUUUUAGCAAGCUUCUUGGAUCUUUUUUCAGCCCAUUAACUUGUGGAAAUAUUAAUUCAGAUGUGACUUUCCCCAGAGCUGCAGGGGGAAGGGCCUCACUGUGGAGAUGAGCAUGUCAGACUGAGUAAACCCUGAUGCCCUUUAAACUAUCAGAUCACAAGUCUUACUUUCCAUGUUUUGAUUUCAUAUUUACAGCAUACUCUCUGACAAUUUAGUUUCCAUGCAGCUCAACCUACUGGAGGAAAUUGUGCAGGUAAAGCUCAUAUGGAUUUUGAUCCUUUUUACGAUCCUUUUUAUGACGUUUUCAUUGCAAAUUUACCAAUUAUCAAUGGUUGUUCCAUUUAAUAAUGUCUCAUUAGCUUUUUUCCUGUGAAUUGAAACUCCAAGUCUGAUCAAUUAGCUAAUAAUUCUUGAGCUAUAUUGAGCUUGUGAACAUGCAGGGUUGGAGAUGGACCUUGGAUUACCACUGUGUGUGUCUUUCUUAUGGAGCAUUCCUGGCCUCCUGCUGACAUCUUUUCUACCCCACUUCCAACUGUCUCAUCUUCCUCAAAUGCUUAUAAUGAAUUUGUAGUGGCUUUAUCUGAAGAAAUCAAUACUCAUAAAACAUCUACCCAUGUUGUACUAUUUUAUAGAGUCGGGUUAAAAAAUGAUGCUCCUUAAUAAAUUCAAAGACAGAAUCUACCUUCUAUCUUUCCUGUAGGGGUAAGGCCCAGCUCUGAAAGAAUAAUGUUUAACUAGUGGUGAUUUUGCCUGGUGA
rnacentral:lncRNA from 1 species